rnacentral:ncRNA from 2 species
AAUAAAAUUAUAUAAAUCCUUCAUAUAUCCUCGAAAAUAUGGUUCGAGAGUCUCUACCGGGUAACCGAAAAUAACCUGACUAUGAAGGCAGAAUAAGUUCGC